rnacentral:lncRNA from 1 species
UUUCUGAAUGUACUUACUUUGGUUCAAACAGAAUUUUGAAUAAAUGAUAGGUGUUUGAGGGAGAGAACAGAUGGAGAGAUAUGGGAAUAAAUGGAAAGGGUUACAAAGCAAAAAAAGGGAGAGGAAUUGGACAGCCUUCUAGGGGACUAUGGUGUUAAACUGAAAACCUUCCUAAGGAAACAUGGGUUGCUGUUUCUGGUGUAUGGAUCAACUUUGUGUGGGUGUGUGGCCAAUUGGUGGUCAAAAAGUGUGUGAAAAUAGUGUACCUAAUAUGUUGUAUUAUUAACAAUUGUGUAUUGCAUUUGUAAGAUAUAUGUUGUGUUAAUAGUUUUGUGUGUGUGAGUGGCUAAAUAUGGGUUAGAUUUCACAUCAUUUCCUUGUCACAUUAUCUACUGAUUUUCUUUAAUGCGCUAGUGGUAGAGGCGUGUUUACCUCUAGCCGAGAAAGGUGAACAGGCAAAGGUGUGUAUGCCUCUGCCACUGGCAGAAAAGAAAGAAGAGGAGACCUGCACACCGAGGAAGAAGGAUCGUGCAGGACUCCUUUCGCCCCUCCCUAUGAAACACAAAGGGAAGGAAGGAAAUUGGUACAGGAAGAGAGAGAAAAAAAGAGAGAGAGAGAG